ensembl:miRNA mir19d microRNA 19d
UGCGGGUCCCAGUCAGCUUUGCAGGGUUGCAGUCAGCCUGUGCCUGUCAGUGCCGCUGUGCAAACCCAUGCAAAACUGACUGUGGC